rnacentral:rRNA from 1 species
AGUCGAACGGGAAUCUUCGGAUUCUAGUGGCGGACGGGUGAGUAACGCGUAAGAAUCUAACUUCAGGACGGGGACAACAGUUGGAAACGACUGCUAAUACCCGAUGUGCCGCAAGGUGAAACCUAAUUGGCCUGAAGAAGAGCUUGCGUCUGAUUAGCUAGUUGGUGGGGUAAGAGCCUACCAAGGCGACGAUCAGUAGCUGGUCUGAGAGGAUGAGCAGCCACACUGGGACUGAGACACGGCCCAGACUCCUACGGGAGGCAGCAGUGGGGAAUUUUCCGCAAUGGGCGAAAGCCUGACGGAGCAACGCCGCGUGAGGGAGGAAGGUCUUUGGAUUGUAAACCUCUUUUCUCAAGGAAGAAGUUCUGACGGUACUUGAGGAAUCAGCCUCGGCUAACUCCGUGCCAGCAGCCGCGGUAAUACGGGGGAGGCAAGCGUUAUCCGGAAUUAUUGGGCGUAAAGCGUCCGCAGGUGGUCAGCCAAGUCUGCCGUCAAAUCAGGUUGCUUAACGACCUAAAGGCGGUGGAAACUGGCAGACUAGAGAGCAGUAGGGGUAGCAGGAAUUCCCAGUGUAGCGGUGAAAUGCGUAGAGAUUGGGAAGAACAUCGGUGGCGAAAGCGUGCUACUGGGCUGUAUCUGACACUCAGGGACGAAAGCUAGGGGAGCGAAAGGGAUUAGAUACCCCUGUAGUCCUGGCCGUAAACGAUGGAUACUAGGCGUGGCUUGUAUCGACCCGAGCCGUGCCGAAGCUAACGCGUUAAGUAUCCCGCCUGGGGAGUACGCACGCAAGUGUGAAACUCAAAGGAAUUGACGGGGGCCCGCACAAGCGGUGGANUAUGUGGGUUUAAUUCGAUGCAACGCGAAGAACCUUACCAAGACUUGACAUGUCGCGAACCCUGGUGAAAGCUGGGGGUGCCUUCGGGANCGCGAACACAGGUGGUGCAUGGCUGU